UGCAAACUGUGUUCGUAUUUCUUCAAGUUCUGAUUUCUCGUAAUGACUUCUCUGUUUACCCGAAAUGCUUUUCCACGUUUUUCCAUGUAACUGUUGUGAUGUGUCACGCAGACGCACACGCACAGGUGCAGCGUCAUGACGACGCUUGGCAAACGGUGACAAAGCGUCGGCGAACGGAAGGAGGUGAGCCGAUCUAUUUUUAGACGUCUGGAUCACGUCGGGUGCGUCACGUGACCUUCCAGGCGAUGACAUCAUCCAGGUGACGGCUGCUCCAAGUCCGACGGAUUUCUCUGAAACCCGCCGUGUUUGAGUCCGCCGCUCUUCUUCCUGGCGGGACCUCUGUGGACUUGGCGAGCCCGAGCGCCGAAUCCCAGCGUCUGCAGGGACUCCGCGACGAAGCGACGCGUGGGGGACACGCACAGCAUCAGCAGCAGCUUGGCGUCGCCCCCUGGUGGACGGACGGAACGUUGCUCCUACUAACAAGCGAUUUUGCUCUUACUCGUGCGUGAGGGAGGAAACCUGACAGGAAGCGGCGGACGCGGGCGGGUUUUCCCGGCGCCGCCCGGCAUCUCCAGCCAGCAGGUCCACGGUGUCGUUGUUGUACACCUCCAGCACGGCCAUCUC